rnacentral:lncRNA from 1 species
AGAUGCAUCCAGCUUGAAGAGACAAUAAGGGCUGGACAAAAGCCGACAGGGCAAACAGAUGGGUAAUAAUCCCCUCUUAUAUCCUUCGUGCCUAUGGAGAAUUACUCAGCAGCACUGAAAUCUCUGAUGAGCAGAGCCCAGGACAGCAUGAUGCGGUUAAAAUUACAGGAUUCUUCCUUUGUAUUUGCUUCUGUGCUCUGGCAUAGAUGGUAAGAUGACAUUCUUAUUCAUCAUAGUAGAGAAUGCUAGCAGAAUAAAAAGGAUCCACUGGUGUUUGGUGGUGACCAGUGGUGUGAUGCCAAUGAGCGUGAGCUCCGUUCUGCCAGACUCCCUUUAUCACGGGGCAGGCUAUAUACGAGACAUCUGUCAACCCACUCCCAGAAGUUCCCAGGGCCUCUGAUCUGCAACGGACAGGAUUCGGGGGAAAAGGACGGGGCAUCUGCUCUUCUAAACUGACCCUGGAAAUCAGAAUCAUCUAGAGGACCAAGUGGAUAAUAACCACCCUUCCCCCAUGCCUGUGCUGAGUGAGAACUUACAAGAAGAUGGCCUUGGACAUGUGGAUGCGGACAGGAAAUGAAACAGUUAUCGGAGGUCAGCCUCUCUGGGGAAGAAGAUGAGCCUCCUUCUAAUGAACCGUCAAGGGUCCCUAGCAGCCUAUGCCGUGCACCUCACUACGUCUCACCACGUAGGCGUUGAUCAUCUCACAUCAUUGCAAGCAGGGAAUUUAAUCAAGAUAGAGGAAGCAUGCUAUUUUCUCCAAUGGGACAUAGCCUCUCCUAGCAUUACAUUGAAAAAAAAAUGGACGUGUUUGAGGAGAACCGCAUUUUUAAAUCAACAUGGAACAUGAAAUAUUCCCAG